CUGUAUAGGAAGCGAAUGGAUGACGUUAGCGAGAGAGGACGAUGCUUUUCUUGCCUCUUUCGAUUAUGCGUUAGAAAAUACGUUGGAUUUUCUAGUAUUCUCUCGCUUCGGAUUUUGUAAUAUUCUACUAUUUUCGCGGAUACUGAUUUCUCGCCUCCUAUGAAAACGCACGUCUAUGUAUAAAUUUGAGUCUAUGGCGAUGACGAUUCCGACCAAAAUUCAUGCGCGUACGUGUACUUACAUGCGCGAACAAUUCCUGGUCGCCUCGUCGUAUACUCGUUUCGUUUGCUCGUCAAUAAGCUACGACGGGUCGUAUGAAUAAAAAUGAAGUAAACAGAGGGAAAAACGAGGACAAUAUACAUUUUUUCUCGGAAGACAUUCUCUCUGGAUCCCUGAAGGAGAAUUAAUUAAUUUCUACGAUCAAUUCUAUGGCUUCAUUGUUGGACGGCGAAACGGACAAUUAAUAACAUAUGGCGGGACGAUCACAAAAUGGCGAGGAGAAAUAGAAGAAAAAGAUAGAUACCUCGUUGAGCUCUAGACAUUUGCCCCACUCGAUCAGCGUGAUCUUAUGAUCGUUGUUGGUGUCGCAGGAGUCGAGGAAGGGUGCGAUGCAGUGUUCUAGGGCCAUUAAGGGUGCCCUGAUCGGGAAAAGUUCGUGCCUGGACACAGCUCGAUCGUGCGGAUGUCCGUCCAGAUCGCACCACUUCCAAAUAGCCGCGUUUGCCCAACGCAAUGUGUGAUUGGUUUCGGCCUCGCGUUGCAUCUUCAGAUAAUGCGAUGGUAAUUCUUGACGAUCCGCCAAAUCCCGCAUGAUGUUGAACAACCAGUCGCGCAUUCGUCUGGGAAAAUCAGCCCGGUCCUCUUCCUUGCACAUCUGUGCGCAUCAAGAAACGAAUUUAACACUUAUAAAGUGAUAGCGUUCUGAAAAGAUUUCGUGGAAAUCGAUAAGUUUUAUCUCUGAAUUAUUUUUUAAGCUUGAAUCUACGAGGGCAACUACGUCAGUUAAUAAAAAUAUUGUUUGUUAUCAUAGCAAUCAUGCAACAUUAUUUUGCUGUAUAAAAACAAUAGAUAAAUAAAUCACAUUGAUAAAUUGGA